rnacentral:lncRNA from 1 species
ACUUGUACGCACAAAAACUAAAAUUAUAAAAUUAUUUAAAAAUAAAUAAAAGUAGAGAACGCCAACAGUGAAAAGCAUGCUGUGUUUGAAUGGCAGGGUCUCAGGACUUGUCUUCAGUAUUGUGAUGCUGAGCUGGAUGGCCACUGUCUUCCUCAUCCCUUCCAAGGACAUCCCUUCCCCAGGAUCCACGUGUGCUGCUGCUGAAUCUUCCUGAGACUUCCCUGCAGUUGACCAGUGUUGAGGCAUGACCCCAGCAAUGACGGAUGUUGACC